CCCAGACUCUGCUGUUCCUUGCCCUUCUGACAUAUUCUAGAAUGUUUAAUUUACCCUUCAUAUGGUGUUACUACACAUCUCUCAUCCCAGCUUUUCCUUACAGCCUAUUUAUUUAUUUUGCCAACACUCAAUACACCAAAACCACUACAGAUUGUUAUAAUGGUUAUGGUGCCAAAAGCUCUCUGGGGUCCACCAGUCUUCUCAACUGCCUUCGCCCAAGAGCCAGAAUUUUCUCAGCAGGAACUGGUUACUACUCCUGAACUAAGCCCAGCAUUGUUGGGCUUAGCGCACUGGCGGAGAGAGUUUGCUGUAGUGGUUAUGGCAGUUGGAUUGUUCUUUUACGACCAG